rnacentral:rRNA from 1 species
CUGCUGCCUUCCGUAGGAGUUUGGUCCGUGUCUCAGUACCAAUGUGGGGGGGUUAACCUCUCAGUCCCCCUAUGUAUCGUUGUCUUGGUGAGCCGUUACCCCACCAACUAACUAAUACAACGCAUGCCCAUCCAUUACCACCGGAGUUUUCAACCCAAGAAGAUGCCUCCCUGGAUGUUAUGGGGUAUUAGUACCGAUUUCUCAGUGUUAUCCCCCUGUAAUGGGUAGGUUGCAUACGCGUUACGCACCCGUGCGCCGGUCGCCGACAUAGA